AGAGUUUGAUCAUGGCUCAGGACGAACGCUGGCGGCGUGCUUAACACAUGCAAGUCGAGCGAUGAAACUACUUCGGUAGUGAAUUAGCGGCGAACGGGUGAGGAACACGUGAGGAAUCUGCCUUCUACACUGGGAUAACUCCGGGAAACCGGGGCUAAUACCGGAUAUGAAACUUGGUGGCAUCACCGAGUUUGGAAAGUUUUUCGGUAGAAGAUGACCUCGCGGCCUAUCAGCUUGUUGGUGAGGUAAUGGCUCACCAAGGCGACGACGGGUAGCCGGCCUGAGAGGGCGACCGGCCACACUGGGACUGAGACACGGCCCAGACUCCUACGGGAGGCAGCAGUGGGGAAUAUUGGGCAAUGGAGGAAACUCUGACCCAGCGACGCCGCGUGCGGGAUGAAGGCCUUCGGGUUGUAAACCGCUUUCAGUAGGGAAGAAGCGAAAGUGACGGUACCUACAGAAGAAGCACCGGCUAACUAUGUGCCAGCAGCCGCGGUAAUACAUAGGGUGCAAGCGUUGUCCGGAAUUAUUGGGCGUAAAGAGCUCGUAGGUGGUUCGUUACGUCGGAUGUGAAAAUCUGGGGCUCAACCCCAGACCUGCAUCCGAUACGGUCGAGCUAGAGUUUGGUAGGGGAGACUGGAAUUCCUGGUGUAGCGGUGGAAUGCGCAGAUAUCAGGAGGAACACCAAUGGCGAAGGCAGGUCUCUGGGCCAAUACUGACACUGAGGAGCGAAAGCGUGGGGAGCGAACAGGAUUAGAUACCCUGGUAGUCCACGCCGUAAACGGUGGGCGCUAGUUGUGGGAACCUUCCACGGUUUCUGCGACGCAGCUAACGCAUUAAGC
rnacentral:rRNA from 1 species